CUCGCGAGAGCAAGCGGACCUCAUAAAGUGCGUCGUAGUCCGGAUUGGAGUCUGCAACUCGACUCCAUGAAGUCGGAAUCGCUAGUAAUCGUGGAUCAGAAUGCCACGGUGAAUACGUUCCCGGGCCUUGUACACACCGCCCGUCACACCAUGGGAGUGGGUUGCAAAAGAAGUAGGUAGCUUAACCUUCGGGAGGGCGCUUACCACUUUGUGAUUCAUGACUGGGGUGAAGUCGUAACAAGGUAACCGUAGGGGAACCUGCGGUUGGAUCACCUCC
rnacentral:rRNA from 1 species